GUGAGGAAUAUUGGACAAUGGGCGCAAGCCUGAUCCAGCCAUGCCGCGUGCAGGAAGACGCAUCUAUGGUGUGUAAACUGCUUUUGUACGGGAAGAAACACUCCCUCGUGAGGGAGCUUGACGGUACCGUAAGAAUAAGGAUCGGCUAACUCCGUGCCAGCAGCCGCGGUAAUACGGAGGAUCCAAGCGUUAUCCGGAAUCAUUGGGUUUAAAGUGUCCGUAGGCGGUUUAAUAAGUCAGUGGUGAAAGCCCAUCGCUCAACGAUGGAACGGCCAUUGAUACUGUUAGACUUGAAUUACAAGGAAGUAACUAGAAUAUGUAGUGUAGCGGUGAAAUGCUUAGAUAUUACAUGGAAUACCAAUUGCGAAGGCAGGUUACUACUUGUGGAUUGACGCUGAUGGACGAAAGCGUGGGGAGCGAACAGGAUUAGAAACCCUUGUAGUCC
rnacentral:rRNA from 1 species